UUCUUUCUUCACUUUCUUCUCUUCGAUCUAUAUUUAUCUUCAUUGCCCUGUGAUAAAAUUCUGCAAUAGUGCAGCAGAUUCAUUUGAAAUCAAAAGGUUUUCAAAUUCAAAUCAUCUUAACAAAAACUGAAAGCGGGAAUUUUCUUCAGAUUAAUCAAUGCUCAAAGAAAAUCAGCUGCCACUUGUGCAGCCUACAAAACAUCUCCA
rnacentral:lncRNA from 1 species